rnacentral:lncRNA from 1 species
UUUCUGAGCAUAAAUGAAUCACUGUAGUCUACUACUACUUUAGUACGGACAGCAAAGUUGGACUUUGCCUUAUGAAGGUGUAAACGUGGCAUGCAUUAAAGAACGUUCCAAUCUGGAUAACAAAUAUUUGCAAACACGGCGUUACUAUGUGAGCGCAGAGUUACAUUUAUAUGCUUUCAUAUAUUUUUACUUGAGCACAGUAAAGAACACUCCAUUCGUUUAGUUUUUCAUUAUGCAGCCAGUGAAUUUCAAGAGCGAUAUAACGUAAAAACAGAACACUGAAAACAACUUACGAGAUUGUAGCAGAUGCAGAGAGCUGUCAGUGCACGAGAAAAAGUGGCAGAUAAAGUGUGGUCUUUCUUUACCAAAUCCGCGAUUUAACUGGAGGGAGUGUCUGUAAAACAGGGGCGUGUAUGAACACACGGUGAUCUUUCAGUACAGUUUCGUCUCAAAACCUGAUGUCGACCUACUAUACAGCAUUUUUUUGGCAUUAGACUCAUAACGAAUGCGUAUAUGAUCUCAAUAAACAAACAAACAAACAAACAAACAGAUAAAUAGAUAAAAAUAAAACAAAUUGAAAUGAAAUCAAUAAUCAAAUAAACAAACAGCUCACUAGGUUUUGACACAGCCUUUGUAUCUUUGGCUUAAUAUGUGACAAAAGCCUGUGUUUUGUUAAGAUUCCAAUGACAUAAAGUGUAACUGUAGUUUUAUUGUAGUAUUAUCACACUGCCAUUUACUAAAAACAGCUUUCCAGGGAUUUCAGUAAAUGGCAGUAUAUAUAUAUAUGACAGUUCUGAUACAUUAAAAAAAAAAAACCUCAAACACCACACCUCUCUAUAAGGCUUUCACUGGCUAAUUUCAUAAAACCCAAGCUCUACAAACAGAACAAGGAUGUUACAAGUAUACAAGUAGUUUGCUAAUGUAGCAACAGGAAAGCAAUGACCACACAAUACAAGAGCAACUGUAAUGGCAAACAGUAGGUUUACUGAAACAUUCUCUGCAAACUUGAAUACGCUUUGAACUUCAGAUACAUGAUGCAAUGUAUAAUAAAACAUCUUCUAGAUAAGGACCUUGCAAAAUGGCAGAUAAAAAUCAUAUAAUGUAAAAUAAGAAUCAGAUGCAACUGCUUCUGUGGCUUGCCUACCACUGAAAUGGAGAGGCUUGAAACUUGAAACAUCUCCCUCACUAACAUGUGCUUGCAAUUAACCCACAGACAUGAAAGGCC